AAGAAAGUCUUUUUCAUUUGAGUUCCACAUUUUUACACUUUAAUAAAUGGAUGCAAAAUUUGAUACAUAACAUGUUGAAGGCAGUUUUGGCCACAUUGAUGAAGAUUUUUUACUAAUAGGACAAAGAAUGUCUAGAAAGUCCAUAGGACCACAUGGGAAAUCUUAAAAUUUGCAGAUGCUUAACACUUAUUUGCAUAAAGCUGAUACUUAUUUUUAAAUAUGAAGCAUAUUAUUAUAAUAUGGGGCUAGGAGGUAGUAGAAUGAAGUGAUCUGAUUCACAGUUUUGUUCCUUCCUAGCCAUAUUGCCUUUGGGCAAGAUAAUCAGCACCUUUCUUCAUUUGUGAAAUAAGGAUAUAAAAGUACCUACCUGGGCUGGCGUGGUGGCUCACGCCUGUAAUCCCAGCACUUUGGGAGGCCAAGGAGGGCAGAUCACCUGAAGUCAGGAGAUCGAGACCAGCCUGGCCAACAUGGCAAAAACCCGUCUCUACUAAAAAUAUAAAAACUAGCUGGGUGUGGUGGCUCGCACCUACGGUCCCAGCUACUCAGGAGGCUGAGGCACUUGAAUUGCUUGAACCUGGGAGGCAGAGGUUGCAGUGAGCUGAGAUCAUGCUACUGCAUUGCAGCCUGGGUGACAAAGUGAGACUCUGUCUCAAGAAAAAAAAAAAAGUACCUACCUGAUGGGUUGCUGUGGUAAUUAUGUGAGAUAUAAAAUAUGUUGGAGUCUUAGAAACAUGCUUCAGCUAAUAAAUGUUGGCCCUUACUGCCUCUAAUAUCAAUAAUCCUGCUGCUGCCACCACUGUGACAUGGCAACAGCUAGUACUUUAAAAACACCUACCACAGAAGCAAAAUCUCAGUCAUACAAUUUUUUUUCCUAUGAAACUUCUCUAAUGUAAAUAGUACAUUUCUGAGGAACAGAAUUGAAAGCCAAUAACACUGAGAGGACAAAGUGAGAAGAACAUUAAAAAAACCACUAAUGACAUAAACUGUUAGAUGGCAGAAUCCUUUUCUAAUUUUCCUUUAGGACAGAUUCACCAGGUAGUUUUGUCAGAAGCUUAGAUGUAUAUGAAUGGUCAUCUUAGGUUUCACCUUUUGUCUCAGCUUCUCUGCAAACAAGCCCAAAUUACCCAUGGCCCAAACCAAACGUAUACACACUCAUUUAUAAGACUCAGUUGUCAGUUAUGUUAAGUUCAUUUUCCCAUGCUGAGCCCUGAAAGCUUCUUGUGAAGUCUCUACCGUGUGGAUCUUACACCUGCACAUAACUAGGAAAACAAUUUUUAGUUGGUUCUUUAGAACAACAGCGAGGAGAAAAACUCUUCAACAAUGGAAGCAGAUCUCAAGAGCUACAGAACUUUCCUGAAAUGGUAAACAUAUUACUUGUCUGAGUUAAAAACUUUUUUUUUCUCUUUGUAGGCUACCUGAAUUUAGGCAAUCCACCAUAUAGCUCAAGCGUAAUGACAUACUUAGAUAGAAUAUGGUAUCUUUGUAUGGUAUGACCAGAAUGGUAGCAGAAUUAACUAUAGGAUAAUAAAUGCAUUUGAUCACUAAAAGUACAAAUUUCAUGAGCCACUUUGAAUGCAGCAUUCCCUAUGGCCAGGUCCUAUACUAAAUUCUUUACAUGUAAUUUCUCCUUGAAGCUUGAAAACAACUCAGUGAGGUUGAUGCUACUAUUAUUGUCCCUGUUCUACAAGUGAGGCAAUUGAGGAUUAACAAAUUUCGGUGGCUUAAGUCUAUCAAGGGAGCUGGAUGUUACACUAACAAUCACACAGAAAAAUAUAUGAUUUUAAACUAUGUUAACUUUAUAGUUAGAGCCAGUAGAGGAUAGAAGUGAAGAAUCAGGAUCUGGCACCUUACUGCUUAUAUUUUGAAUCAAAGCUCUGCCACUAAUUAGCUGUGAACUUGGGCAAAUCACUAAGCCUGUGCCUCAUCUGUAACAUGGGAUACUAAUGGUGCUAUGGUCCGAGUGUUUAUGUCUCCCCCAAAUUCAUAUGUUGAAAUCCUCAUUCCCAAGGUGAUGUUAUUAGAGGUAGAGCCUUGAGAGGUGAUUAAGUCAUGAAAGUGGACUCCUUAUAAAUGGGAGGCCUGAAAGGAGCCCCUUGCCCCUUGCACCCUGUGAACACAGUGAGAAAAUGCCCUUUAUGAACCAGGAAACAAGCCCUCACUAGAGUCUAUCAGUGCCUUUGUUUUGGACUUCCCAGCCAUCAGAACAAUGAGAAAUAAAUUUAUAUUGUUGAUAAACUACCCAGUCUAUGACAUUUUGUUAUUGUAGUUUGAACGGUUAAGACAAAUAGUAACAAUUACUGUACGGAUUAAGUUAGUUAAUAUAUUUUGAGUGCUUAUAAGAAUACCCACAACAAGUCCUCAAUACAUGUUAGCUAUAUUUUUAUUCUUCUCUUAUAUAUAAGAAAAAACAGGGAUAGAGAGGUCAAAGUAACUUUGCCAUAGGGGUAAAAAGCAAAUCUCGAAUGUGUCCAAGUCAUAUCCUAAAACCUACUGCCUUUAGUUAUCUUUCUCCCUAAAUGUCAGUCCCAACUAAGGGGAGAGGUGGUCCUGCUGGACAAAGCAGGAAGAAAGGGCCGUGAUGAGAUGGAGAAGCAGUGUGGUGGCCUCUGCUGCAAUGAAUGGAGGGAUGAUGAUGUUGGUAUGAGGAUGUCAUCAGGACAUGUGUUAUUUCUGGAUGGAGAAAUGAGGGAAGAUGUCCUCCUCUGAUUCUUCACUAUCCUCUGACAAUCUCGUUGUUGUUCCAUGCCCGGUUCCAUCCAUCCAUCAUAGUCCUGAGAACUCUCUCCUGAUCGCUGGCACAGGGACUCUGAUGAUGCAGAGACAUGGCUGUAGAAUUGGUUGAGGACCAACUGAACUUUCUGCCAGUUUUAAAAUCCCUAAACAGUGGGAAGAUGGUUUGGCAGUUUCUUAACAAAACUAAACAUACUCUUAGCACAUGAGCCAGCAAUCACAAUCACUCUUCUUGAUACUUACCCUAAGGGGUUGAGAACUUAUGUCCACACAGAAACCUGCCCAUGGAUGUUCACAGCAGCUUCAAUUAUAAUUGCCAAAACUUGGAAGCCACCAAGGUGUCCUUCAGUAAGUGAAUGGAUACAUAAACUGAAGUACAUCCAGACAAUGGAA
rnacentral:lncRNA from 10 species